rnacentral:lncRNA from 1 species
UUAUGGAACCUUGUAUUCUGUUGAAUACCAGAAUUAUAUCAGCAAUCCCCAAGUCACCAAAUGGGCAUCAUCAUGACAGCAGAUGGAAUUCGCUGUUUCGCCCAGGCUGGAGUGAAGUGGCGCGAUGUGGGCUCACUGCAACCUCCGCCCCCAGGGUUCAAGGGAUUCUCCUGCCUCAGCCACCAUGAUUUAACACUGAGAAGUAGGCAGUCACAGAGAAAAAGUUUGGAAUAGUUCACCAGUGAAGUCAUCUCAACCAGCACAGGGCCUUGACUCCUAACAACAAUCACACGAACUUGGAAGAGGAUCCUUCCCCAGCUGAAACUUCACUUGAGACCUUCUCAUUGGCCAUCAUCGACAUCUGGAUUCAUGAUACAGAGAAACUGUGAGUAAGAGCCACUUAGUAUGUGAGAAUUUAUUAUUCAGUAAUAAAUAAUACACCUGGCAG